GACGAACGCUGGCGGCGUGCUUAACACAUGCAAGUCGAGCGGUAAGGCUCCUUCGGGGGUACACGAGCGGCGAACGGGUGAGUAACACGUGAGUAAUCUGCCCCUGGCUCUGGGCCAAGCAUUAGAAAUGACGUAUAAUACCGGAUAUGACGCAUCUUCGCAUGGAGCGUGUGUGGCAUGAUUUUUCGGCUAGGGAUGUGCUCGCGGCCUAUCAGCUUGGUGGUGGGGUAAUGGCCUACCAAGGCUUUGACGGGUAACCUGCCUGGGAGGGUGGCCGGUCACACUGGGACUGAGACACGGCCCAGACUCCUACGGUAGGCAGCAGUGGGGAAUAUUGGACAAUGGGCGGAAGCCUGAUCCAGCGACGCCGCGUGAGGGAUGACGGCCUUCGGGUUGUAAACCUCUUUCAGUACCGACGAAGCGUGAGUGACGGUAGGUACAGAAGAAGCACCGGCCAACUACGUGCCAGCCGCCGCGGUAACAC
rnacentral:rRNA from 1 species